AAGUCCCACAGCCUAUCUCCAGCCAAGGCUUGGGGCCUUCCUGUUCAGCGGCUGAAUCUCCCACAAUCCCUGCCCUGCAGGCUGCCAGGCUGGAGAAAGGAUAGAAGACCUUGUACCACACUGAGAGGUGUUUUCCACCUAGCCUGCCUUGUGCAGGCCCAGCCAGGCAGCCACGGAGACCCAGUCAAACCCUGGAUUCCUCCUCUUCUCUCUGAUUCCCACAUACCUUACAGAAGGACCCAUCUAUCAAUUCAGUGCUCCUCAGGUUCCAUCAUGCCUGGAACAGCUGCCCCCACUCCCUGGAGCAGGAAGAAGAAGGUGAUUUGUUCUGAAAAACCUCAAGGUCAAAGGGUCUAUUAAGAGUCUAGGCCUUGAGGACCUCGGCUGUGAAGUGCCUAGGGGUCCAUCCUGUGUUUAAAGCCUGCAUCUCACCCUCAUAUCCAAAAUUCUUUCAUUGAAUAAGGGAGGUAGUAUAAGUGAGGUCUUAUGAAUAUAAU
rnacentral:lncRNA from 1 species